rnacentral:rRNA from 1 species
CAAUAGCGUAUAUUAACGUUGUUGCAGUUAAAAAGCUCGUAGUUGGAUUUCUGGAGGGAGCGUCGGCCCGUAUUUACGAGUGCGUGACGUCUCUGUCCAUCCUUGCGGGAAGGCACGGCAUUGAUUUGUUGUGUCGGAUCGCAUCAUUUACUGUGAAAAAAUUAGAGUGUUCAAAGCAGGCUUUCGCUUGAAUACAUUAGCAUGGAAUAAUAAGAUAGGACUUUGGUGCUAGUUUGUUGGUUGAGCCUAAAGUAAUGAUUAAUAGGGAUAGUUGGGGGCACCUGUAUUGCGUUGUCAGAGGUGAAAUUCUUGGAUUUACGCAAGACAAACAGCUGCGAAAGCGUCUGCCAAGGAUGUUUUCAUUAA